GGGGUGGCCGCACUGUUGAUUUUUUCACUCUUCAUCUCCCUCUCUCUGGUUUUCUCGCUCGCAGCGACCCCGUAGCCACCAUUCUCCACUCCCCUCUCGGAUCUCUCCAGCCAUCUCUCUCUUCUCCUUUCAUUUCCUCCUCAGUCCCUUCUUUUCUCUCAUCACAAACCGUCUGCCACUCGCCCAUCUCUCUGCUCCAUACCAGCUAGCUCACCGUCAUCACCACUCUCCCACAACCCCGAACACCACUCUCCAGCCGAGUCACCCAGAGUCUCGCAGCAGAGCCGUGAGCGUCCCCCUCGAUCCACUGUUCAUCUUUCAGAUCUCUCCAGCCAUCUCUCUCGCUCUCUCUGGUUUACUCUCUGACCCAUCGUCUUCCUCCAUCGCCGAAGCAACACCAGCAGCACCCCCUCUCUCAUCCUCACCCUGCAACCCCCGAGCACCAUCUCUCGGCCCUCCUCAGAACCACCAUCCCUCACUCUCCUUCACCUCUACCAGAAGCCCACGGCAAAAAGGCCAGAUCUCCACCAUCUCCGAGAUCCCCAGAACCUGUAACCACUACCCAACAGCUUCACCACGAUCACCCUCACCUCACAGCCAUCCCACCUGCUGGAGCAGAGCUCUUCAUGGCCUCGUCCAUUAACUCCAUCCCCGACCACUGAAACAAACACCACCAUCGUAUCCCGGAGCCUGCAAUCAUCGCCCUCGACCUCUCCCACCACCAGAUCCCGGAUCACCAACCGCAGCACCAGCUCCGGAUCCGAGACCACCAGAACAUCCAACAUCUCUACUGUUCACGCGCAACAUUUUUCCAACCACUCGACAUUAGAGUUAGUGUCAUACUCCGGCAUUGAGGGGGACGGUGAGUUCUUCAUCUCGGAUUUCCUUCCAUGAGUUUUUGAAAUCUAAUCUUUAAUUUGGGGUUUUCAGGAGUUUUGUGAAAUAGACAUAAGUGUGAGCACCUUGUGUUUGACCAUUUGCGGCUGUGAGUUUAUUGGUAAUGUGUUAGAUUCAUAUAUGCACUCAUAAUGUGGAAUUCUUCCAAUGCAAGCAAACUGUUUGUGAAAAUGUCAGUGUGAGGGCACACACCUAUCCACACACCAAUACACACUGCACAUCUUCAUACACACACUUGGACACCCACAUACACACAUUGUUUGAACACUUCUACAUACAUUGCUAACAUGCAUUUACACACAUUACACAUGCUUUCAUACACCUGUGCACAACAUUCAUACACCACUCUCAUUGGGUUAUGUUGGCAUGGCUGUGAGGUGUUUGUGAAAAUACCGGAGUGAAGACACAUGCCAUUACACACACUGCUCACACAUUAAUUCACACAUUGUUCACACACAUUUACACCCACUGUUCACACACUUUUUCACACACCCUCACAUGCUAAUUAACUAACUUUAACUAACAUUUUAUUUCUUUGCUUGCAUUCAUACUAACUCUAACUCAUGCAUUUACUAACUCAUACUAACAUUUAAUUUCCUGUACUCUAACAUUUAAUUUUCUAUAUACUAACUUUUAAUUUCUUGUAUACUAACAUUUAAUUUCUUAUACUCUAACUUGCAUACUAACAUUUACUUGUAUAUUAUUUCAUUUCCACACACUUACGCACACACAUUUUGAACACGUUGUUUACACACGUUUGGCACGCACAUGUUACACAUGUUGUAUACAUGCAUGCAUUCACAUACACCCACGUCCACAUGCAUGCAUUCACAUACACCCACGUCCGCAUGCAUGCUUAUGCAUGCAUGCAAUUUCACAGUCACAUGCAUUCACAUACACUUACAUGCACAUACAUUCACAUACACAUGCAUAUGCAUGCACGUAACUCCACUCAUUCACACAGUCGCAUGCAUGCAUGCAUUCACAUACACUCACACGCACAUGCAUGCACACAUUCAUAAACGCUCACAUGCACAUGCAUACACAUGCAAACAUGCAUUCACAUACACAUGCAUGCAUGCAUGCGAUCACGCAUACACACACAAAUUCAUAUUCAUGCACAUGCAUGCAUGCACUCACACUCGAACACACAUGCACACGCACACACAUGUACAUGCAUGUAAUGCACAUAAUCACAAAGUCAUACACUUGCGUGCAUGCAACCUACUUCAUGCAUUCCGAUGUCACCCAUGACAUCAUCACGUAGGUCAUUGUCUAUUCAUGCAUGCAUAACAUGAGUGUUCUAGUCCAGACCUUACAUCACGUCAUUAUUCAUGCAUGCAUGCAUACACAUGCCCAUGCGUGCACCCAUCCAUCACACAUCAUGCAUACAUGUAUGACCAUUCAUGCCUCGCACGCAUACACAUAUUCAUGCAUCGGUGUCAUCGGUCAUUCAUGCACGUAGGCACGUGCAUAUGCUCAUUUGCACGUACUCAUUCUUACAUGUGCACAUUCACUCACAUACAUUCAUACAUGCACAUCCCCGCACGCACGCACAUUUGUGCACAUGCUCAUUCAUACAUGCACACGCGUUCAUGCUCGUGCUCAUCCAUGCAUACAUAUGGUCAUGCAUUCAUGUUCACACACACACUUCAUGCAUCACUUGCACAACCUAACAUACACCUAAACACACACAACCCACGCGUAAAGCAACACGUGUUGACUAAUGGUCUCGAUCAAGACCUUAAACUGGUUUUCCUCUGGACCGGCCAACGUUUGACUGAUUUGUCAUUCCCGGAACCGGUUCACGCCAGCUCUCUGAAUUUUACAUAUUUAUCAUUAUUUAGCUAUUUAAAAAAUUCACAAAAAUCACAAAAUUCUCAGAAAUAUCUUAAAAAUAUUUUCAUACUUUGAUUUCCAUGGUUUUUAUUUGUGCUAUUUUGAAGUUCAGGAAAAAUAUUGAAAAAUCACAAAAAUGCUUUCACACUUAGAAAAAAUCACAAAAAAUAUUUUUUAGGCAUAGGAAAUCAUUUCCAUCUCGAACAAAUUCCAAAAAACCUCCAAAAACUACUUUUCACUUAGAAACUCUUACAGAUAUCAAAACCUCGGGAGCAUAUUUUGUAUCCUAUUUUCUUGAUUUUCCUUUCCGAUGAUUGCGACAAAGGGCAUGGACUCUUUGGAAGUAUUGGAUCGCCCCAGUUUUGAGGGAAAACUUAUAUGGUAUUUUAUUUUGUGCAUUUUCCUUGAUUUUUGGAAGGGAAUAAUUUUGAAAGACUUAUUAUAUUUAUUUUGGGAUAAUUUUCGAUUAAUCUGGUACCAUUCGUAAGAAUGAGCGCGUAGGGGAUGCUAAUACCUUCCUCUCGCAUAACCGUACUCCCGAACCCGACUCUAGUAAUGCAGAUCGAUUGUACCUUAAUGGGGUAGCAAUAAAGUGUUCUAACUGCAUUCCAAAAGGUUAGUGGCGACUCCAUCACACCAUGUUUUUUCACAAAAAUAUCUUUUUUCAAAAUCACACAUCCAUUUUUCCCAGUUCGCAGCUGCACCCAUUUUUUCUAGAGAGUGGUCCUCUGGGCAGGGUUCGAGACAUCGCGAUGGGUAUAGGCCCAUUACACGACACUUCGUGGACAGAACCGUCAUUGUAUAUGCUGACAUACUGCAUGAACAUCUGAUCUCUCCAUAUCCUCCUGUACAUAGAUUGUUAAGAGUUGGAUUGACGGUUGUCUAUGAGGACAGACGACAAACCUAUCUACCUCGACCUGACCCGCCUGCACGAGGAGGUCAAGGAGCUCCAGUACGAAGAGGACAUGCGCUGCGUGCAUCCAGUGGUUCACAGAGCUGUUUUGGUAAGCCCCCUAUUAUACAGAGUGAGUAUGUGUUUGGCUCGUAAGCACCCUAUGCAUGUUCAGCGGGAGAUGAUAUUGCGAGGCCAUCCAGUAGCAGGCCAUAUGCUGCAGAUGUUCUUUCAUCCUCCAAGCCUUUAGGUUUUAGUGCCCCCUCCAACUUUGUUGCCACCUCAUCCAUGUCAUUCCUGUUGGAUGACGGUGUAGAUGCGAAGGAUGUGGAUGCAUCAGCUAUGCCACCUCGUUCUUGUCCAGCAUCAUUAUAUGAGUCAUCUCCCCAUCUACUUUAUAUGAAUGUUGAUGAUGCAGUACCUUUGGGUGGAGAUGAUAGACAUACGGGACAAUGACGGGGCAGGAGACCGAAUGGAGAUGACCAGAAAAAGAAAAGAAAAGAAAAGGUGGACGCAGACGAUAGCCACCCCGAGACCGAAGACAACUUCCGUGUGGCACUUGAGUAGACAUUUGUUGUAUAUGUACUUGACCACUAUAUUAUGUUGCACAGUAGUUUGAUUCUGUUGAUUUCAUUUGUAUAGCCUCAUUGCAUUAUUUUUGUAUAAUUGGAGAUGUUUAUUUGUUGUUUCCCAAUAUGUAUAUGUAAAUGAAAGUUGUGAACAUACUAGUAUCGAUUGCUUAUGAAAAAUAUUUUCUUUGAACA